UUGGAGGGCAAGUCUGGUGCCAGCAGCCGCGGUAAUUCCAGCUCCAAUAGCGUAUAUUAAAGUUGUCGCAGUUAAAAAGCUCGUAGUUGAAUUUCGGGGUUAGUAGGUUGGUCAUGCCUCUGGUAUGUACUGGUCUCACUGAUUCCUCCUUCCUGAUGAGCCGUAAUGCCAUUAAUUUGGUGUUGCGGGGAAUUUGGACUGUUACUUUGAAAAAAUUAGAGUGUUUAAAGCAAGCUAACGCUUGAAUACAUUAGCAUGGAAUAAUGAAAUAGGACGUUCGAUCCUAUUUUGUUGGUUUCUAGGAUCGACGUAAUGAUUAAUAGGGAUAGUUGGGGGCAUUAGUAUUCAAUUGUCAGAGGUGAAAUUCUUGGAUUUAUUGAAGACUAACUACUGCGAAAGCAUUUGCCAAGGAUGUUUUCAUUAAUCAAGAACGAAAGUUAGGGGAUCGAAGACGAUCAGAUACCGUCGUAGUCUUAACCAUAAACUAUGCCGACUAGGGAUCGGAUGAUGUUAAUUUUUUAAUGACUCAUUCGGCGCCUUACGGGAAACCAAAGUGUUUGGGUUC
rnacentral:rRNA from 1 species